rnacentral:rRNA from 1 species
UGAANCUGGGUGACUAGAGUGUGUCAGAGGGAGGUAGAAUUCCACGUGUAGCAGUGAAAUGCGUAGAGAUGUGGAGGAAUACCGAUGGCGAAGGCAGCNUCCUGGGAUAACACUGACGUUCAUGCCCGAAAGCGUGGGUAGCAAACAGGAUUAGAUACCCUGGUAGUNCACGCCCUAAACGAUGUCGAUUAGCUGUUGGGCAGCAUGACUGCUUAGUAGCGAAGCUAACGCGUGAAAUCGACCGCCUGGGGAGUACGGUCGCAAGAUUAAAACUCAAAGGAAUUGACGGGGACCCGCACAAGCGGUGGAUGAUGUGGAUUAAUUCGAUGCAACGCGAAGAACCUUACCUGGUCUUGACAUGUACGGAACCCUCCAGAGACGGAGGGGUGCCUUCGGGAGCCGUAACACAGGUGCUGCAUGGCUGUCGUCAGCUCGUGUCGUGAGAUGUUGGGUUAGGUCCCGCAACGAGCGCAACCCUUGUCAUUAGUUGCCAUCAUUAAGUUGGGCACUCUAAUGAGACUGCCGGUGACAAGCCGGAGGAAGGUGGGGAUGACGUCAAGUCCUCAUGGCCCUUAUGACCAGGGCUUCACACGUCAUACAAUGGUCGGUACAGAGGGUAGCCAAGCCGCGAGGUGGAGCCAAUCUCACAAAACCGAUCGUAGUCCGGAUUGCACUCUGCAACUCGAGUGCAUGAAGUCGGAAUCGCUAGUAAUCGCAGGUCAGCAUACUGCGGUGAAUACGUUCCCGGGUCUUGUACACACCGCCCGUCACACCAUGGGAGUGGGGGAUACCAGAAGUAGGU